CCUCACAAAUGCAACAAGAGGGGCAAGCCCAUGAGCUCCAAUGGAAAAGAUCUACAAAGAGAACAAGUUAUCAGCUAUCAAGAGAUGUAUAAAAAACAGCUGCUGAAGAAAGUUUAAGAGUUUACACAUCAAACCUCUAUGUUCAGCCCAACUUUUCAAGCAGCUCUUAUGGUACUUCUUAUUGCAGGUUUUGCAUGAAAGCAUCUUAGCAACUCUGUCACUGCCCUCAUCAUCUCCAAAAAAGCAUAGGCAGCACAUAACCUUGAGACCAGAAAAAUCUUGAUCUUCUUGAUCGUCUCUAGCACUCCUAGAAGCUGCCUCUCCUUGCAACUACUGCAAUAGCAUAAGCAUCUCCAGUAACUAAAUACUUGUUUAAAAACAAUGAAACUGGACACAGGACUUUGCCACCAAACAAGAUGCGGAGAGCCCCAAUAUCAAAUAUAAACUCAUUAAAGGACUUUUGAGACUUAAAAAAGGGCCAACUAGAACACCAUCAAGAUCAAGAUAUAAUAGCACUUGUAGAGGAAAUGUCCAAGUUAAGCAUAGGAACAAGACCGAUGGAACCUACCCCAAACAGCUGAGGCUACAAGCACUACUGAAUACUGACAUUGCCUUUCAUAGAAAAUUUGAAAGAUUCCUUCAUUAUAUUUUAUUUGAAACUUAAGCAAAACUUCAAGCUAUAAGCUGCAUCAGUAAGAUCUAACAAACUGUCACUCUGAUCAAAGUUCAAACAGCAGAAAAUCCAUCAUCCAUAGGAGAACUAUUCAGCUAAUUGAUAAAUCAAAGCAACAAACAAUUUCACAAGGUUCAGUUCCAGCACAAUACCACCCAAACAACAAAUCAAGAAAAGAAACUCUAACAUCCAGAGAGAGAGAGAGCACCUACCGCAGAGCCCCGGGCCUCGAGCCUCCGGAAGUAGUCCUCGGCGGCUAUCGCCUGCCGCCGCAUAGCAGUGUGCCGAGCUUCCUCCCCGUCGUUCCCCGUCGCCACGAAAUUGGAGAAACCCUGGCAUAGAGAACUCAAUUGAGGUAGAUCCUUUGAUUUACCAGAAAAUAGCCCCAAAAAUCUCUCGGAGAAGAUCAAUUUCUCGGUAGAUCGCUGUGAGAAAUGGCUCGGAGAAGUCGAUUGAGAGCAAAAUCUCCCAAAAUCUCAAUCUCUUCUUCAAAUCUCAAUCUCUCGAAGAAGCUCGAGAACUCGCAAUGAAUCGAGGGGGUUGAUCCGCUCGCGAUAGAGAGAGCGAGGGUGGGGUGGGGGGCAGGGCGCGAGGGGUGGGGUUGAUCCACUCGCGCGAGAUGGAGAAAGCGGGGGAGCGAAAGAGGUCGCG
rnacentral:lncRNA from 1 species